GAUGAACGCUGGCGGCGUGCCUAAUACAUGCAAGUCGAGCGAAGCGGGGACGGGUGAGUACCACGUGGAUAACCUCCUAUAAGACUGGGAUAACUUCGGGAAACCGGAGCUAAACCGGCUACUUAUGUAUGGAUCCGCGGUGCAUUAGCUAGUCGGUAAGGUAACGGCUUACCAAGGCAACGAUGGAUAGCCGACCUGAGCGGGUGGUCGGCCACACUGGGACGGGGGAAAGGGCCAGACUCCUACGGGAGGGAGCAGGAGGGAAUCUUCCGCAAUGGGCGGAAGGCUGGCGGAGCAAAGCCGCGUGAGUGAAGAAGGUUUUCGGAUCGUAAAGCUCUGUUGUUAAGGAAGCGGUACUUAACCAGAAAGGGACGGCUAACUACGUGCCAGCCGCCGCGGUAAUAC
rnacentral:rRNA from 1 species